rnacentral:rRNA from 1 species
UACGAAGGGGGCUAGCGUUGCUCGGAAUCACUGGGCGUAAAGCGCACGUAGGCGGCUUGUUAAGUCAGGGGUGAAAUCCUGGAGCUCAACUCCAGAACUGCCUUUGAUACUGGCGAGCUUGAGUUCGGGAGAGGUGAGUGGAACUGCGAGUGUAGAGGUGAAAUUCGUAGAUAUUCGCAAGAACACCAGUGGCGAAGGCGGCUCACUGGCCCGAUACUGACGCUGAGGUGCGAAAGCGUGGGGAGCAAACAGG